AAAAAAUGUUUUAAGAGCCUAUUUAUAGAGUUAAGGUUGCCGUUGCCCUCAACCCUAGGUUAGUUGACAUUCUUGUGUUUAAUUUCCAUUGUAUGGAUCAAAAUGGCCCUGGUUCGUAAAUGCUUCCUGUACAAGGUUGAUGCGGCGGCAAUCGACGCCUAGCCACUUUACCCAGCAGCCAACUCACGCGCCAACCUCUGUCAAAAGAGUAAACCUAAGGAGCAAAAAAGAAGGAGCAUGGUGGAGUGGCAUGAUGGACGUUGGAUGAAUUUAUAUAGACAACCGAGAGAUAAGACAUCAGUGUACAGAAUUACGGAGCUGACGGAUGAAUCUUGAAGCCAUACUUGAUGAACCAAUAGAUAAUAUAUUUAUUAUGUUGUAAUUUGUUGUAAUUUAAUUAUUGAUAAUUUGAACAAUAUUGAUUAAAUAGGAGUAGGAUAUAAAUUAGGACUACGUAUAUAGAUUAGAAUUAAAUUAUAUUAGAAUUAUCAGAAA